GGUAGUCUAGGGCGUAAACGAUGAAGGUUAACGGUUCGUUGAUUGUUUAAUCGGCGUAAGCGAGUCGUACAGCUAACGCAUUAAACCUUCCGCCUGAAGAUUACGAUGGCAACAUUAAAAUUUAAAGAAAUUGACGUGAAGACAUAUAUACGGUGGAACAUGAGGUUUAAUUCGUAUCUACGCGAAAAACCUUACCUACGUUUGAAUUAGUUUAAUGCCUGACGGUGACGUCAGGUAGGCUUAUGUCAACUCUAACAGGUGCUGCGUGGCUGUCGUCAAUUCGUGCCGUGAGGUCUUAAGUUAAGUCUGGUAACGAAUGCAACCCUCAUCUGUAGUUAUUAACCGAUAUUCGGAUAACCCCUACAGAAACUGCCCAUGAAAGUGGGAGGAAGGAGAGGAUGACGUCAAGUCUUUAUGGCCCUUAUGCGUAGGGCUACACUCAUGUUACAAUGGAUGAUACAGAGGGUUGUGAAGGGGUGACCCGGAACUAAUCUCUAAAAUCAUUCUUAGUCCGGAUUGUAGUCUGCAACUCGACUACAUGAAGCCGAAAUCGUUAGUAAUCGCGGAUCAGAACGCCGCGGUGAAUUCAUCUACUGUCUUCUGUACACACUGCCCGUCACACGGAAGGAUUCGGGAUGUUUCAAAGGCAGCCCGAUCGAUUAUUCGAUCGAGUGCUUAUUAAUGUCCAGCUGACUUCUGUUAAGUCGUAACAAGGUAACC
rnacentral:rRNA from 1 species